CACAUUCCAUGGUGAUCAUGGGGUGACUUGACUGUGGCACGUUUCAGGCAGGAUUCCUCCUUCCUUCAAACUGCAUCACCCAGGAGUCUGCAAAUUCCCCAAAGUAGGAGGAAAAAUGACCACAUUCAAGGUGAGGGGGGCGUGCCUCUCUCGCUGUUAAAAUUCCAUGUCACUACUCAUAUUGUCAUGUGUUUUUCUCUGUCAUGAGAAGACUCAAGGGGAAAACAGGCAUUUGGGGACCUGUUUGUGCCAGGUGCUUCCUUUAUCUCUUUUGUGUUGACUGCAUUUGGUUUUUGGUUUUGCUUUGUUUUGUUUUGUUACCAUUAUUUAUUUUAUGGAGUGUGAAAAUUAGUAGAAAUGAAUAGUGCUACCACUUCCUUACCUCCCCUCUCUCAAAUUAUCUGUUUUUAUCUUAUCUUGCUGUUUGUCAUGUACAUUCGUAACUGUAUUUGUAUUGAUGAUAUACAUCUAAUUGUAAACUGUGCUCUUUUUAUAUGUUAUAUAAUCUUCCAUUUUUAUGGUUACAUCAUAUUCCUAUUACAUUGAUAUAUCUUUUUAUUUAUAACUACCUCACGCUCAUAGACAUAUUUUAAGCAACACUGCAGUGACAGCUUUCCUAUAUAUAACCUUUUCCCACAAAAUUAAUUUUGAAAACCAUAUGCCAUUUUAGCUCAAUUUUGAA
rnacentral:lncRNA from 1 species